UUGCUUCAGCAGCAUGUAUACUAAAAUUGGAACAAUACAGAGAAGAUUAGCAUGGUCCUGCUCCAGGAUGACAUGCAAACUCCUGAAGUGUCCCAUAUUCUU
ensembl:snRNA U6 U6 spliceosomal RNA